UGAGAGUUGCUCCUGAGCAGCAUUUGUAAUGACUGAAAUAGUCCUGGGCUUACAACUGCCACAAAUCUUAGACAGCACUGGGGCUACAGUACCCUUAAUCAUUAACUCCUGUUCUAUCACACUACAAUAAAUACCCCAACUACACUACACUACACUAUAAUCAUUAACCCCUACACUACCAUUAUACUAUAGCCAAUCAUUAACCCCUACACUACAACUAUACUAUAGCCAAUCAUUUAAUGGGC